rnacentral:lncRNA from 1 species
GACUUUUUUUUUCUUUAAGCUUUUAUAUAAUGAAUGCAAAUUUCAUAGGUAUAACUUUAGGAAUAUAGUGGGUCUUCCCCCCCAUACCCACCCUCCCACCCCAAGUGACUGACUUCAGAAAAGAAGUAUGCUAGGGCAAAUUCUAGACAAAUGGUUGUCUUACUAGUUAGUGGGUGUUGCUGUGGAUUCGUUCUGAGAGGAGGAGCGUGGUGGGGGCAAGAGGUGCGGAGUCACCACACAGACCCCAGGUGUAAGGUGAAAGCGGGCCAGAGGUGAGCAGCCCACAGACUCGUUUAUUUCAGUUGGUAUAGCAGUUUACAUAGCCAAGGCAGCCAAUCUGGUCAAGGGGUGGUUUAUGCCCUAACCAAUCACAGCCUGUUGCCAGGCAGUAUCCGAAGCCAUCCAAUAACAGCCUAUUGCCAGGCAGGCUCCGUUGCCAGGUGGGUUUCGAAGCCAUUCCUGAGUAACUGACGCUUGCUUGUCAGCAGCCAUCUUGGCAUGGCCUUCUCAUUCCACCACAAGUGGGCACCCUGACUAAUGUAUUUUUGGUUAUUAUUUUUUAGGUCCACAGAAGUGAACGCUUGUGUGACCCUCUACCUCAGUGAGUGGCACCACUAACAAUCUGAGGUUAUUACACCUCUUUUCCCUUGAUAACUGCCCCUUCAGCAAUUGAAUAAUGCUGUUUGGCUUCUCAUUUGAGCAAGUGGCUCUUCAGCAGCUUUCAGCCGCGCCGGAAUCCAGAGCUAUACUCUGUGUGAUAAUUCCAGCCCCAGGGAAUAGCUUCGGAAAUAAGAGCUGUAGGGUUCUUCGUGAAUAAAUAAGCCAAGAAGGGAAAGGGGAUGCCGCAACUUGGAGAAACGGUUUACAAGUCGUCCUUCAGCAGAGAAACAAGUUCUUAAAUGGAAAUGAAGAAAGAAAACACCUGAAAGCGGAAAACAGCAAUAGAGCCAAAAAUUUCCAACAGGUAAGAAAGUGGGAAACAAACCUCUAAAAUGCUAACACAAACAAAAAACCCUUAAGAUUUGCAAAUGACCUUUUCAAAUGUGCAUCUCAUGUUAAAAAAGCAAGUCUUUAAAAUUUGUGAAGAUCAUUAAAAAGUGGAAUUUCAGUGUUUUGGGGCCUAAUUACUUCUGUUAUGUUUUCACUUAUGUGAUCUGAAAUCCCUACAGCUUUAUAAUUUUAAGAAAAUUAUCAAAAAACACCCCAAAUCUAUUAGCACAGUGGGGUUUUGAUUACUUUUAUCUGUUAGUAAAUAAAUUUUAAAAGAUUGUAUAAUUAUUUUCA